AAGCAGAUGGGAAGAGGCAGGGGUGUGCCCUCGAGACUGAUGGCUUGUCCUGCUCUGGCCUGUGUGUCCUGAGCAUGUGCUGUACCUGUUGGACCAGUCGCACACAUUUCCACCCCACUCUGCAGCAGCAGCCUUGGUACGUGGGUGUCCCUUCAGUCUGAGCUGGAGUGUAGGAGAGCUCGUUCCCGAUGACCUGUGAAGGGGGACCCCUCUAACAGCCUCAUGUCCCAGCCCCACCCUUCCCCACAUCCCCUCAAUCUGAAGCCUUUAACCAAACGGGAGUGGGUACAGAAAGCCUUCUCCUGGCAUCUUAGGGCAGCAGGACAAGGGCUGUCCAGUGUGUCCAGCUCUGCUGCUCUCCUGGCGCUGAGAGGUGGGCGGAGCAGAGUUGAUCAGACCCUGCCUGCCCUGCCUAGGGCUGAAGACAGGAGAUGGGGUGGGUACGCUGGGAUCUGCCGGGGUGGGCGGGGGUUGUUGAAGAUCCAGGUGGGGAGAGGCCCCACUGGAGCACUCUGGCUGACCUGGGUGGCGGCGGCCUCGCGCCCUCCCUGCCCUGUGCAGUAUUUAUUGCUAAAUUAUUGUCCAGGAGGGGCGGCACUGGGCCGGGCCCCGGGUAUUUAUUGCUGUACAUAGUGUAUGUUUGUGAUAUAUAAGGUUUUCUUUAUUUUGUAUAUGAUCAAUAAACACCUUUUAAAGAGACUGGCAGGUGCUUCCUUGGUGCGACGCAAGGGCGGGGCGGAAGGGCGGGGUGGGCCUCGUGCGCAUGUGUCGGCGCGCGGCCUGACGGGAGGCGGAAGCGGAAGCGCGAGUCUCCCCGGGAGAGAUGGCCGCCGGGGGUCUGAGCCGGUCGGAGCGCAAGGCGGCGGAGCGGGUCCGGAGGCUGCGGGAGGAGCAGCAGAGGGAGCGCCUCCGCCAGGUGUCGCGCAUCCUGAGGAAGGCGGCGGCAGAGCGCAGCGCGGAGGAGGGCCGGCUCCUGGCCGAGAGCGAGGACCUGGUUACCGAGCUGCAGGGCCGGAGCAGGCGGCGCGAGGGCCUGAAGCGGCGGCAGGAGGAGGUGUGCGACGACCCGGAGGAGCUGCAGAGGAAAGUCCGGGAGCUGGCUAGCGCCGUCCGCAAUGCCAAGCACCUGGUCGUCUACACGGGCGCGGGGAUCAGCACGGCAGCUUCUAUCCCAGAUUACCGGGGUCCUAAUGGAGUGUGGACACUGCUUCAGAAAGGAAGAAGCAUUAGUGCUGCUGACCUGAGUGAGGCCGAGCCGACCCUCACCCACAUGAGCAUCACCUGCUUACACGAGCAGAAGCUGGUGCAGCACGUGGUGUCUCAGAACUGUGACGGGCUCCACCUGCGGAGCGGGCUGCCUCGCACAGCCAUGUCGGAGCUCCACGGGAACAUGUAUAUCGAAGUCUGCACAGCCUGCACUCCCAACAGGGAGUAUGUGCGGGUGUUUGAUGUGACGGAGCGCACCGCCCUACACCGACACCAGACUGGCCGCACCUGCCAUAAGUGCGGGGCCCAGCUCCGGGACACCAUCGUGCACUUUGGGGAGAGGGGGACACUGGGACAGCCUCUGAAUUGGGAGGCGGCCACCCAGGCUGCCAGCAGAGCAGACACAAUCCUGUGCUUAGGCUCCAGCUUAAAGGUUCUAAAGAAGUAUCCACACCUCUGGUGCAUGACCAAGCCCCCCAGCCGGCGGCCCAAGCUCUACAUUGUGAACUUGCAGUGGACCCCGAAGGAUGACUGGGCUGCCCUGAAGCUGCACGGAAAGUGUGAUGACGUCAUGCGGCUCCUCAUGGAUGAGCUGGGCCUGGAGAUCCCCCGCUACAGCAGGGUCUUAUAGGGGAAAUCAAUAACUUCUUUUAAUCAAAGGGUUGGAGAAUUAAGGAUCCCUUCACCUUCUGGGCCUGGCAAUUCUUGUGGCAGGACCCCAUCUUCUCGCUGGCCACUCCCCUGCGUGCGGGUGAAGAAGGCAGCCACAGUCGGAAGUCGCUGUGCAGAAGUCGAGA